UGCCUGGCGGCACUAGCGCGGUGGUCCCACCUGACCCCAUGCCGAACUCAGAAGUGAAACGCCGUAGCGCCGAUGGUAGUGUGGGGUCUCCCCAUGUGAGAGAAGGGAACUGCCAGGCAU
rnacentral:rRNA from 1 species